GCCGGGCGUGGUGGCGGGCGCCUGUAGUCCCAGCUACUCGGAGGCUGAGGCGGGAGAAUGGCGUGAACCCGGGAGGCGGAGCUUGCAGUGAGCCGAGAUUGCGCCACUGCACUCCAGCCUGGGUGACAGAGCAAGACUCCGUCUCAA
rnacentral:SRP_RNA from 1 species